CACGUAUCAGUAGCGGUUAUGCAAGUAUUUACACAGAAAAUGCAAUCUCUGAAGACAGGUUUGUGCGUGGUGAUUAUUCUUUUAAGAAUCGUGACGAAGAUCAAUGUAGUCAAGGAACAGAAACAGAUUAUACCGAACAAGACAAUAAAGAAACCGAAACUACGUUCAAAGAAAAAACAUUGACCAGCGGUUAUGCAAGUA